GCAAACUUGGUCAUUUAGAGGAAGUAAAAGUCGUAACAAGGUUUCCGUAGGUGAACCUGCGGAAGGAUCAUUAAUGAAUGUUAGGAUGCUCUUUUUAGAGGUCCGACCCAUUUAUUCCACACACCGUGCACACACACUUUUUACACCCAUUUUUAACACUAUGUAAUGAAUGUACAAAAGUCUCUUGAUUGAGCAUACAAAUAAUAAUAAAACUUUCGGCAACGGAUCUCUUGGCUCUCGCAUCGAUGAAGAACGCAGC
rnacentral:misc_RNA from 1 species